UACGUAGGGGCAAGCGUUGUCCGGAAUUAUUGGGCGUAAAGGGCUCGUAGGCGGUCCGUCACGUCGGGAGUGAAAACUCAGGGCUUAAACCCUGAGCCUCGCUUCCAAUACGGGCAGACUAGAGGUAUGCAGGGGAGAACGGAAUUCCUGGUGUAGCGGUGGAAUGCGCAGAGUAUCAGGAGGAACACCGGUGGCGAAGGCGGGUCGCUGGGCAGUAACUGACGCUGGAGACGCGAAAGCGUGGGGAGCAAACAGG
rnacentral:rRNA from 1 species